rnacentral:sRNA from 1 species
GUGAGGAAGGGGGUGACUAGUGACAGAGUGAGGAAGGGGGUGACUAGUGACAGAGGGAGGGGUGACUAGGGACAGAGUGAGGGAGGUGGUGACUAGUGACAGUCACCACCUCCCUCACUCUGUCACUGUGUCACCCCCUCCAUCUGUCACUGGUCAUCCACUCCCUCCCUCCCUCCCUCCCUCCCUCUGUCACUGGUCACCCACUCCCUCCCUCACUUUGUCACCAGUCAUCCCCUCACUCUGUCACUAGUAACCCCUUCCUUCCCUCAC